rnacentral:rRNA from 1 species
GAUGAACGCUGGCGGCGUGCCUAAUACAUGCAAGUCGAGCGAUCAGACGAGGAACUUGCUCCUCUGACGUUAGCGGCGGACGGGUGAGUAACACGUGGAUAACCUACCUAUAAGACUGGGAUAACUUCGGGAAACCGGAGCUAAUACCGGAUAAUAUAUUUAACCGCAUGGUUCAAUAGUGAAAGACGGUUUUGCUUUCACUUAUAGAUGGAUCCGCGCCGCAUUAGCUAGUUGGUAAGGUAACGGCUUACCAAGGCAACGAAGCGUAGCCGACCUGAGAGGGGGAUCGGCCACACUGGAACUGAGACACGGUCCAGCCUCCUACGGGAGGCAGCAGUAGGGAAUCUUCCGCAAUGGGCGAAAGCUUGACGGAGCAACGCCGCGUGAGUGAUGAAGGUCUUCGGAUCGUAAAACUCUGUUAUUAGGGAAGAACAAAUGUGUAAGUAACUAUGCACGUCCUGACGGUACCUAAUCAGAAAGCCACGGCUAACUACGUG